GUAGUCAGGCUGGGAGAUGCGGGCCGUCCUGAGCCACCCCACCGCAGCCCCCGCGAUGGACAGAGGAGAGAGGACCCCCACCCCCAUCCCCCUCACCUUGCGAGUUGACAGCGUUCUGGGAAAAUGAACAGGGGAUCUGGCCGUGCGCCCCACCGACAGAGGCUGGAUAGAAACCCCCACGUGCCGGCUGCAGUCUGCGGAGAAGGAGGCGCGCCCUGAGUGUGCCACUAGGGGGCGCAGUCAGGGGUCCAGACCCCAGGGUGCCUGAUCCCGAGCGCAGGGGGCUGGCUUUCCCCAUCCCAGAACCCUGCGCUCUCUGGCUCCGGCCUCAGUGGAGGGACAGGUGUGAGAGGAGGAGCCAGCUGAGGGCCCCUCUCUGCCUGGAGUGUGCUUAGUCCCACUCUCCAAGCCUGCAUCUCGGCUCCCGCUCCCGGCCAGGACUCACGCCGGGAGGCAGCAGGGGGGGUUCCAGGACCUGGGACCCUUACCACCCGUGUUGGAAGACCUGGAUGGAGUUCCUGGCUCCUGGCUCUGGCCGGGUCCUGUUCUGGCUGUUGCGGGCAGCUGGGGAGUGAACCAGCAGAUGGAAGAUUCUCUCUCUCCCUCUCUCUCUCUGGCCCCUGCCUCUCUCCGUCUCCACCUGGAGAGGCACUGUGGCUUCUCCAGCCCUUGGUACGAUCCUAUGGACCCCAGGACUGAGGAGAUGGGCUCCUGUUUGCUCAGUAUGAGGCAGGGGGCAGUGAGGAGGGUGCCCUGGGAGUGACCUACUGAUCUGCUUCCAUGCCAAAGGCACGGGUCACAGCAGGACAGCCCUGGGAGGGGGAGGGGGUUCCUCUUGCCCAAGUUGGCCCAGUAUCUGUGGUCACAUCAAAGCAGCAGGGAGCAGCCCGGCUUGCAGACAGAAUGUUCUCUCGGGUCUCCUUGAUUCUCCCAUUGUUCAGGGAGGUGAGUAGGGCAGAGGCAGCGAGCAUAGCUAAAACAAUAUUUAUUUUGUUUAUUUGAAAGGCAGAAUUGGAGAGGGAGAGAGAGAGAGAGAUCUUCCAUCCACUCUCCAAAUGGCCAGGACUGGGCCAGGCCAAAGCAAGGAGCCUGGAACUCCAUCCAGGUCUCCCACAUGGGUGGCAGGGCCCCAGGCACUUGGGCCAUCUUCCACUGCUUUCCCAGGUGCAUUAGCAGGGAGCUGGAUCGGAAGUGGAGCAGCUGGGCAUGUACUGGUGCCCAUAUGGGAUACCUGUGCCACAUCGGUGGAGGCUUAAACCGCUGUGCCAUGGUGCCAUCUCCAUUUUUAGUCUUAGCCUGUUGGGACUGAUGAACCGAGCCCAGAGCAGCCAAGGGCUUUGACCAGGGGCUCACGGCAUGUCUGUGCCGUGGAGCUGAGGGACCUCCGGUGCUGGGUGCCUGGUAUGCCCCAACCCGGACCUCCAAAGGGAAGGAGCGACUCCCGUGUCCCUUUUAUAGACUGGGAAAGAGGUUCAUGGGGGAUCCACUCCACCCGUCUACACUGCCUGCGUGUGAGUCAGGAGCCCUGAGUUCAAGUCUGGAAGCAGGCAGGGUUCGCCCUGAGGGUCGGUGGGGGUCGGAUAAGAGCAGGGGCAUCAACUGGGUGCUGGCCUUGACUUUGCAGAGGCACUUCCUGUGGGGUUCAGCCCCCCUGCCCCACUAAAUCCCACGCAGCCCAAGGCCGUUGAUCUCUUUCCCCUUGCUUGGUCCUAGACAACAUGGCCGCUGCUCUGCUGUGUGACGUUGGGUCGGAGUCCUCCCCUUUCUGAGCCUCCAUUGUCUACUUUGUAAGACGAGAGGGCGCAGUUUUGCUCUAAACUCUAAAAGUGCGUUUUUUAAAAUUCUUUCCUGGGUCCUUAUGGGCAACACAGGAGACAGGAGCAGAGCUGUUCCUGCUGACGGGGGGUGGGGCCUCCUACCUGGCCCCGCCCCCAGCCUGGCUCAGCGGUGCCCGUGGGAAUCUAGCCUGGGACCUGGGGCUGACCUUGGCUGACCUUGGCCCCGGGGAGAGCUGAGCUGUCUCCUCCAGUUCCCCAGAGGCAGGAGGUGACACCUUCACCCGUCUCUGCUGGACCCCGACAGACAGCAGCCCAGCCACCACCCUUACCCCAAACACACACAAGCUUUGUGCACCCCACCCUCACCCCAGGAAGUUCCAAGAGUUCCUGGGAAAUGAAAGUUGAAAAAAAAAUAGCUUUUUUUGGUGCAAAAAAAUUUAUGCAGCCCCUUCAAAAAGCUCACGGAAGAUGGGUGUUAUGAAACACACACACACACACACACACACACACAGCCCCACGCUUGGAUUUCACAGUGUUUUUGCAUCCCAAGAAGCUCAUCUUUGAAUUACAACUGAAUUGGGGCUCCUGGUGUUGGUGGGGUCUGGGGGAGAGGUCAGGGGAAUGGGGAAGCCCCUGCGUUCCUGUGGGCAGGUGAGGGCACUCCUGGUGUUGGUGGGGUCUGGGGGAGAGGUCAGGGGAAUGGGGAAGCCCCUGCGUUCCUGUGGGCAGGUGAGGGCACUCCUGGUGUUGGUGGGGUCUGGGGGAGAGGUCAGGGGAAUGGGGAAGCCCCUGCGUUCCUGUGGGCAGGUGAGGGCACUCCUGGUGUUGGUGGGGUCUGGGGGAGAGGUCAGGGGAAUGGGGAAGCCCCUGCGUUCCUGUGGGCAGGUGAGGGCACUCCUGGUGUUGGUGGGGUCUGGGGGAGAGGUCUGGGGAAUGGGGAAGCCCCUGCGUUCCUGUGGGCAGGUGAGGGCACUCCUGGUGUUGGUGGGGUCUGGGGGAGAGGUCAGGGGAAUGGGGAAGCCCCUGCGUUCCUGUGGGCAGGUGAGGGCACUCCUGGUGUUGGUGGGGUCUGGGGGAGAGGUCAGGGGAAUGGGGAAGCCCCUGCGUUCCUGUGGGCAGGUGAGGGCACCCUGGUGUUGGUGGGGUCUGGGGGAGAGGUCUGGGGAAUGGGGAAGCCCCUGCGUUCCUGUGGGCAGGUGAGGGCACUCCUGGUGUUGGUGGGGUCUGGGGGAGAGGUCAGGGGAAUGGGGAAGCCCCUGCGUUCCUGUGGGCAGGUGAGGGCACUCCUGGUGUUGGUGGGGUCUGGGGGAGAGGUCAGGGGAAUGGGGAAGCCCCUGCGUUCCUGUGGGCAGGUGAGGGCACUCCUGGUGUUGGUGGGGUCUGGGGGAGAGGUCAGGGGAAUGGGGAAGCCCCUGCGUUCCUGUGGGCAGGUGAGGGCACUCCUG